rfam:Candidatus Marinimicrobia bacterium TMED80 MHASMcontig_23934, whole genome shotgun sequence.
UAUCUUUGCCAUCAUUUGUGUACAUAAUAAUCAUUUAAAUAAAUAUUGGCAUG